rnacentral:rRNA from 1 species
AUGAGGUCUUCAUUGAUGGUCUUGGCUUCUCUUCUCCUCCUCCUGGUUCUGGCUACAACAGCACAUGGGAUUCGGCUGGACAAGGACCUGCAUGAAGCACUCAGCAACAAGGAACAACUGGCCGGGCAGCCACCCAAACCCAAUGGCGCCGCUGAUUCGACCGGCACCAGCAAGCACUGCACGUCCAAUGGGAAUUGCUCAGGAAAGGCGAAAAAGCCACCGUCGCCGCAGGCUCACGCCGAACCGGACGACGCAUCAGCAGCCAAGCAUCAGAUAGCCCCGAAGAGGAACGACGGCGACGCGCAGGUCACUAGCCACGGUGGCGGCCAGGAGGAGAAGACAUGGUCGCGCCGGGCGCUGCCGCGGCGGCCAGAGCAGCAGGAGGCGAGGACGUACCCGGACCUGAUCGACAUCGCCGGGAUGGACUACUCGCCGGCCGCCAGAAAGCCUCCCAUCCACAACUGA